UUUGUACUCCCUCUGUCCCAAAAUUCUUUUCUUAAAUUUGUCUAAAUACAGAUGUAUCUAGUUACAUUUUAGUGUUAGAUACAUCCGUAUCUAAACAAAUGUAAGACAAGAAUUUUGGGACGGAGGGAAUACUAC
rnacentral:pre_miRNA from 1 species